rnacentral:rRNA from 1 species
UACGUAGGGUGCAAGCGUUAAUCGGAAUUACUGGGCGUAAAGCGUGCGUAGACGGUCAUGUAAGUCGGGUGUGAAAGCCCCGGGCUCAACCUGGGGAUUGCAUUCGAGACUGCAUGGCUAGGAUGCGGAAGAGGGAAGCGGAAUUUCCGGUGUAGCGGUGAAAUGCGUAGAUAUCGGAAGGAACACCAGUGGCGAAAGCGGCUUCCUGGUCCAGCAUCGACGUUCAGGCACGAAAGCGUGGGGAGCAAACAGG